UUGUUUUUGUUUUUUUUUGACAAAAAAAAAAAUCUUGAGUGCCUUCAGGUUGCAGUAGAAUCUCAUUUUAAGGAGGCAACAGGCCAAACUAGGAAUUAUUUCUGCAGAAAUAGCUUGCAAUUUCCUUCUAUCAGUUCUUAAAACAUGUUACAUUUGCAGGCUUCAUCCUCCCUUUCCAUUCUAUCGCAGAUAUAACUGAGACCCACACUGCAGAAGAACUAUCAGAUGAAUAAAUUUUACACCAUUGUAAGGUUUUCUCUAGGAGAGAAGUGUGCCAGUACAAGCUUUAAAUUGGCAUUAACCCUGUCCUUUUCUUUCCAUUAACUAAUUUACAGUAACAAAACACAACAACAACAACAGCAAAACAAGCCAGAGGAUUUAGUACAUUGUGGGUGGCAUCUGAUGUAAUUAAAAAGCUAGUUUAACUGAAAACCACAAUGGUUUCUGUCAUUCCUCCUGGAAAUAGUUCUUGGGGAACUUUUCCAAUGAAAAAAUAUUUACCAGAGGAUAGCUACUAUUAAAAAAAAAAAAAAGUAGGAAUUAGGUGAAAGAAUCUCUAUUCCAAAGUGCUUUCUUGAACUAAAAUAGUUUUCCUUUUUCAGAUGAAUAUCAUCUGCUUCUAUCUGGUAGACAUGAAGUACAAAAGAUACUUUAUGCAUUCCCUCUACACAUUAUUUCCUUAAAUUCCCUUUCCUACAUGAUGGUGUUGGACUAUCUUCCUGCUGCCACCAAGGGACUGCCUGGACCAUCACUACACAUGUUUUUCCAAGAGCAUACACAUUUCGGUCAUUCCAACAAAGGCUGAACCAGCAGCAGCACCAGGGGAAGACUCUUGCCAUGAACAGCUGGAGAAGAUGUUCCAAAAACAAGAAGUGGCAUACUGCGACAGCCCCAGGAGCAGCAAGUCGCUGUGCAGAAGGAACCUGUUGGUUUGCAGGGAAUAACAGUGGCUUCAGCACGAGGAAACAACAGAAUGAGAUGUCUGUCCAAGCAAAACCCUUUCCUUUUGGUUCUCUCUUUCGAUAUGGAGUACCCUGUCCAUAGCGUCUGAACCCCUCUGUAAAUCAAAUGCUGUGUCCUAAAUCAUUCAGAGGAAAGCAAACCUCCCCAAACUGCAGUUUGCUGGCUCCAGGCAGAAGAGUGAUAAAAGCUACAAAAAGUAUUGUUAUGCUGUUCAGAAUUAUACAAUCACAAGCCCCAGGGGUCUUUGCUUUAGAAGUUUCCUGUUGGUAGUAAAUCUCAAAAUACUAAAUAGUAACAGCACUCUGCUGACACAGGAAUUGAAACAAUUUGGUGAUGUUUCUCUGAGCCCUUUGACUUACUGACCUCAACAUACUUCUGUCUUACAAAUACAAACCUGUGAGACAUCGCUCUAGUUUUCCUGGAUUGUCAAACCAGUCACAAAUUUCCAAUUAACCUGUUGACCUAGCACUUGCAGAUGGGAUUGAUUUGCUGAUAAAGGCUUUGUCUGGGACAGACAGGAGUUAUCUUGUGGGACCACAUACAAGUGUUAGUGCUAAUACUGCACUCAUUCCUUGUACGGAUAAAUUACAGCUCUGGGCAGCACUGUGAGAUAGGAAUGCUUGUUAUCCAUUAUCUAUAACUAACCAUGAGCAUUCUGGAUACUUUUUGUGGUACUGCCACACAACAAGGUAUCUUGUCUUCUGCCAGCAGUGAUGGGUAAGCACUAUUGUACUGCAAAGAUUCAAAUGCCAACAAAAGCAAAUGACACUGUUACUGGCUUACCCUGACGAAGGUUUCCUCAGUAAGUGCAAAAUCCUCCUCAUCCUCUGAAUUACCUCUAGCCCCUCUUUGGGAUUAUUUAAUAGUUAGAUCUUCCCAGGUGAUGCAGAAACAGGACUUUUUCUUGUGAGUAGUUGCACAGAACUUGACACCUUCAUCACCAAUACAGUUCAGAGCAGCAAUUAAAAAAGGGCAAUGUAUCUACUUGACACAUAUGCUAGGCCAGGAGUUGCGUUAAACAAGGGCAGUAUAUACACACAAUGCAGCAUGCUCUGCUGUGGGGGGUGAAUAACAGGCCCCAGGAAAAGGGCAUCCCUGCAUAGGAGUGCCUUGGCAUUCACAUGAUAGCCAGAAUUCCCAAAUAUACAGAUUGCAGAAAUUUGGGUUGGCAAAGGACUCUGCAAGUUUUGCUGUCCUAACCAGGGCUCAGUGUCUCAGGAGUAAAGUCAAAUUGCUUAAGAAGAUGCAAAGUCACCCCAGCAUUACAGGAUAGAAAUCCAGAUUAUUUGAAAAAAGGAGUUGCUUUAUUUUUAAAAAAUGAAGCAUACCAUGAUGCCAUCUGUUUCAGUGGUCUUUUUUCAUCUAUAUUUUCAGCUUGGUGCAGAUUUAUGUGCUGAUGACUGGGACUUUAACACAGAAAUCCUAAAGAUGGUGUUAAAAGACACACAGCUUCUGAGUUCAGUAUAAAUGGAAGCAAUUUAACAGCUAAGAAGGCGUUUGUGAAUGGGGCUAGGAUGAUGAACAGGAUAUUCUGCAGAACAGCUGACUACACAUGGAAACUGCAAUGGACUGCUGAACUAGUUCAUCCUUGAGAUAGAAGAUGGACUUUGCACACUGCCUAGAGAGACACUCCUGAACCAUACUUGCAGUAGGCUCAGCUGCAGUUACAGAAGCAGCUCCUGUCCCCCACAACCAACCCCGUCCCCUACAGUGCUGCUGGCUAUGGCUCUGCAGAUGCUUCCUGGCAGAACUAAAGCAAGCACUUUCUGUCUCCUUUGUUCUCUGGCCUCCUCCCCCUGCCGUCUUCUCCCCCAGUUCUGGUAGUUGCAAAGUUUGUGAAACUGCUUCUAAAGACACAAGUUAACCAAACCAAGGAACUGAUGAAGGUUAAAAAUAACUAUGUUAAAAAGAAAAAGAAAAAAAAAGAGGGAAAAGGAAAGGAAAAGGAAAGAAAAAACAGGAAAGGAAAAGGAAAGGAAAAGGAAAGGAAAAGGAAAGGAAAAGGAAAGGAGCAGUUUUAGUUCAGAGACAAACAUCCAAGGGCUCACAGCUUCCAUAGUGGAGAUGGCUGAAUUGAAAACACAUUCUUUACAGUCCUACCAUUGCUUCCAGCCUAACAUGUAAAUUGAUGAUGACUUCAGCUUAUAUUAUGAAGUGAGGAGAAUAAGGAGCAGAUACAUGCUCCCGUUGGCUGCUCCUGCAGUGCUGAGGACAGUAGCCACAGACAAAAAGGCUGGAGGGAGGAAAUCAACCACUAGAGCUGAAGUUCCUUGUGAUGGGGAACACUAUGAGGAAAGAACAAGCUUCCUUUUUGUUUGUCGACGUCCCACUAUUGAUACCUACAGGCACCCAUCAGUACCAUGUUUUUUCCUGGCUGGUCUUCUCCAAAUAAGUUUCCAAGAAAAGAUCACGCUCCAAAUUCUAUUCAGUCAUCAGUAUUCUACUGAUUCACAAGUUGGACUAACACCCUACCCUAAAAUAGAGGAGAGAUAUCAAAGAUACUACUUGACUGGAGUGUUUAACCAUGCUACAGCUGCAGCUGAUUGUUGAUCAGACUAAUCAAGGAUGCAUACAUCUGCUUGAGAAAGCACGAGUUCCUUACGGUCAUAUGACAUGCCUUCCAUGAGAAGUAAAAUUAUCUCCUCGUCUCUGAGAGGGAAAUGAGAAUGAGACACAAGGCUACAGCUGCGCUGGGAAUCAAGACCUCAGCCUCCUGAGUUCCAGGCCAAUGCUUGAAUUGCUGCACAGGAAGUAAAAGCAGCAUCACAUGUGUGACAGACCUUCUUCUAUCCAACAUCAACAUAAGGAAUAUGACCAGCUAUCACCUGAGCUGCCGCACUAGUUCUGUUGGCAGCUUUUAAGGAGGCCAGCUCUCUCCUCAAUGAGCCUCAGCUGACAUCAAAAAAAAAGGGUUAUUGCUGUGGGAGGCCUGUGCUAGUUAUAGAAUAAUCAGGUCCCAGUCACAGGCAGAGGAACCGCUAAAUAAAGGACAGUGACACCAGCUAGACUAUUUAAACUUAUUGGACGUUUUACAAAGGACAACUAGGGAAACAAACCACAUGGAAUGAUAAAGCAGACUUACUGUUUGGUGGUUGAGGAAGAAAACAAAUGACACAUCAUCUCAUUGCAUGCCAUAUGACAAGACUGAGCCACAUCCGAUGACUCAUUUUUACUUUCUUUCUGAACUGCUGAAGAGGAUUGGAUCUCUCUACUCUGCUCUGUUACUCAUCAUUACCUUCAACCCUGCUUAAAAUGCAAUUACAACAUCAUGUAAGCCAUGAUAUUUAAACAGCAUUGAUAUAAUUUCUAUUUAUUGUACAGCAGCCAACAAACAGCCUCUUACUUGGCAGUAGAGAGACAUGCCUUCUGUUCCUGGUCAUCUUGUUCUCCACUAGCAAGUGGAUAUCACAAAAGCAAAAAUAUCAAGAGUAUGGUUGGGAAGACAGAUGUGGUGCAACAGCAUGUCAGAAUAUUUGAGUUACAUAAGUUCUUAUAGUUGAAGGUUUCCUAGGACGUGCAUUUCAAUUCUUUUUCACAGUCACGUUUUACACAUACCACUCCAAUACAAUUUGAUGCUUUUCACAAGAUCUUCAGCCAAAACACAGAAAAAGUAUGACUGAGAAUGUACAAGAAUAUGUUCAUCCAUUUUUUGAGUUUAAAGAGAUUAAGCGAUAUGAGUUUUUCUCUCAAUCAGCUGCAUGCAUAACUCACAGAAUUUAAACCUGAAAAAUUAAUAGCUUUUAGUAUUCAAGCCACACCUCACAGACAGCUCAUAGACACCUCAUAGACAGCUACACAAUUCCAGUAUGGGCUAGACCCUCUGUGUGCUUCUUAGAAUCCAUAAUGUAAUGCUAUCUGUGAUCAUGAGAGAUUUAAAACUUUCUGUGCCUCUGAAACAGAUCUUUUUUUAAAUCUUCAGAGAUAUAAUACUGUCUCUUUCAGAGGUAUGGGUGUUCAGGUGACAGAACCCAAUGAACAGACUGGAAUAGAAGAAAAUUUCACUGUUGAAAUUAUUUAAGCAUAUGAAAAAAUAUUCUGCAGUGUUUGAUCAUAGGAUAUUACAAGCUGUGCUCCUAACACAUUUAACAAACUGCACAAGUAUGCACUGCAUGUUUAAAACAGCGAAAGGGAUGUGUCAUGGGUAGUCAUAAAACUUGGUCAUUACAUUGACCAUGUCAGUUUGUGAACUUAUCCAGCAGCAUUUUUCUACCCAUGAGCUAGUGAAGCAAGAACACCCUGAACGCCACUUCUGAUAUCUAUUAUUUCUCCUCUAUUAAGGGAUGCAAUAGGUGAAAGCGUAUUUGCCCAACAGUAACAUCUGGACUUACCACUAUAUUGACCAAAGUAUUAUGCCAACUACUGGUUCUAAUAGACAGAGGAUUCAAACCCAAAUAUUGUAUUUUACUGGGUAUUCAGACAACAAACAGUGUUUCUGAGCUUCCCUUUUCUGGAUUUGCAAAUUCUUUGGCCCUUUUAGAUAUUCCACAAGCUUGAAAACAUAUUAUAAAAUCACACCCUCACUAUACAGAUAUCAGAAUGCCUCAACAGCCAAGAGGGGUUUUCAGGUUGCUUCUAAAUAUGGCUUAAUGUAAAGUUCAAGUAAAGAAAGGUUGAUUUAAUAGACUGAAAAAAAAAUUAAGAGUUAGACAAACUAAUUUGAGCUGAUCACUCUCCAUUCAUCCAAACAACAUUUACCAAGGUAGUAUACUCAAAGCAGGAUUAAGCUUCCCUCCGUUGAAUAUUCAGUUCUUUCCAGAAUUUGAGAUUUGUAUGAAGAGAAUUUUAAAGUUCCACCAGCGUCCUGAAACAUGCAAAAUAUUCAACCAUUACAGUCUCCAAAAGAAGCAAUUCAUAAAAAUCAGGGAAGAGUUUAAAGACCAUUUGUGACCAAGAAAGAAAACAGGCAUACAUGCACAUUACCAGGUAAUUGCAUUUGAAAGGUAUUGUUUACAGGAUGCUAUAUGCUCAGUCCUUUGACAUUUCUCUGUAAGCACAUCACACUUUAUAGUGCACAUCUGCUCUCUAGUGGCAAAAACUUACGACUCCAAUUAUACAGAAAAAAAGCCUUAGUAAAUCCCGAUGCAAUGAAGUCAGUUCAUCACUGUUUUGCAAGAGUGGGUAAUUAGAGAAAAAAUAAUUAUUGAAAAAAAAAAAGAGCAACUGAAACUAAGAGUAUGUAAUUCUGUUUAGAUCUGACUGUUCUGGUUCCUUUCCCUGGUGGUACAUAAUUGAUCUCUUGUGACAUAGACUUAAUAUAUUUUUGAGGUAGGGCAGGUAAUCACAAAAAUAAACAACAAAAAUGAGCUAAUUUACUGCUGGUGUGAAAUGUGCAGGGUUCUAUCAGGUUCAAAUCAGCAGGCUUGAAAGCUUGUAAGACUGGAAUGUCAACUCCCAAUGCACAUGCACGUUGUUACUUGUCAGUAACACUUCUUUCCCUCUAAGCUGGGAAGUAACUAUAGAAAUAGAAGAUAGCAAUGUCAUUAGAUCAUUUUAAUCACUUUCCAGUUACAUCUCUCCUUGCAUAAGUUUUCACGAAAGACAUCAAGAAAGAUCAGGAAGAAAUAUUGCACAACUGCAGAGCCUAAUGAUUUCACUUCAGAGUCUUGUAAACCUUAUUAUUAGCUCCUGAAAUCACACUUCUGUUUAGAUUAGGGUGAGUAGCACAACCCUUUCUAGCUUUUCAGCUAUUUAAUUCCUCAUUUUAGUAAUUCACACAUAAAUGGAUGUUCACUUACAAACACUGCUAGAUUAAACCACAAUACUAAAUUGACUACGACUCCCUACUGUUGGUUAAAAUACAUACAUGGUUUGAGGAAUUAACUGCUGCUUCCUCCCCAGAAUAUGAAGGCUACCCAAAACUGGUCAUUCUAAUAUGCAGAAGUUCAGCAGCAGCUGUCUGUGCAUUUUCAACUGAAAGCAUAGAGGAAGAUGAUGAUGAUCUGUUCUGCUACAGCUUCCAACAUACUGGCAGGAUAAAACUUCAUUUUAGGACAGUACUUAUGACUUAGAGGACAACAUUUAGAGUUCUCCUUAAACCAAUGUACUUGUAUGAUAUUUGGUGGAUUUCUUAUUUGAUGUUUAGAAAAAUAAAGGUUAAAAAGAGUGGAAAAGGACUGGGCUAGUACACAAAAUGAGACUGCCCAUCAUGCCAAACAGCUCCUUCUUAGAAUACGCUGUCUUAAUGGCCAGGCAUCAAACGAGGGAAGAUAAAGCUUUUGGAAGCUCUCUUUUCAGUCACUGCAGAGAAAGGUAAAUUGGAUUUUCAAGCCAGAUACUAAUUCAGAAGUGCAAAGGCACACAGCUGCAUAACCUGUGUGCCUUUGGGGUGGUCAAAACACCUAUAAAUAGCUAAUCCUUUGGCGCUUCCCCCUUGCUGUUUUUGCUACUGCAGUAGCACACCAGAGCUCCUGGUUUUGCAUUGACUCUUCUUUUACACUGUAACUAGGCAACAUCCCUCUCUAAAAACCCACUGAUCCUUGCCCCAAACAGCUAGCAAUAAAAGGGAGCAAUGUGACAACAGCUGAAUAUAACUGACAGGGUGGGAGAUGGACAGAUUGGUCUGCAAAACAUAAAGAGUCACAGCACUGCAGCUGCCUAACCAGAAAAAAUGUUCUAUGCUGGCACUGGGCAGAGGAUGAUCUACUGAGACAUUUAGAAGAGGCAAUCGUGGUGUUUUUUUUUUGUAGAUGUCUUUUGUUGUUGUGUUUUUUUAUUGUUUUUUUUUAUUCCCUCCCUUUAAUUUAUACGUAGCUCCUUGCUCCAUGUAUUUUGCAGUACUUGUAGAUUCCUAUUACAGUUAGGUUGUUGUACAAAGUCCAUCAAAGUUCUGUGAGAAGUACUGACACAGAUACUUU